UCGAGUCGUCCUGCGCGGAAGAUGUACCGGGGCUAAAUUGGUAACCGAAGCUGCGGAUGCAUGCUUGCAUGCAUGGUAGAGGAGCGUUCUGUAAGCCGUUGAAGGUGAACCGAGAGGUUUGCUGGAGGUAUCAGAAGUGCGAAUGCUGACAUGAGUAGCGAUAAAGAGUGUGAGAAACACUCUCGCCGAAAGUCCAAGGGUUCCUGCUUAAAGCUAAUCUGAGCAGGGUAAGCCGGCCCCUAAGUCGAGGCAGAAAUGCGUAGACGAUGGGAACUAGGUUAAUAUUCCUAGGCCAGGAGGAUGUGACGGAUCAUGAAGGUUGUUCACCCUUAUUGGAUUGGGUGGGCCGCUAAUUGGUUCCUGGAAAUAGCCCUCCAUUAGACCGUACCCUAAACCGACACAGGUGGACUGGUAGAGCAUACCAAGGCGCUUGAGAGAACUAUGUUGAAGGAACUCGGCAAAAUACCUCCGUAAGUUCGCGAGAAGGAGGCCCAGUUUCUACGCAAGUAUUGGCUGGGGGCACAAACCAGGGGGUGGCGACUGUUUACUAAAAACACAGGGCUCUGCGAAGUCGCAAGACGACGUAUAGGGUCUGACGCCUGCCCGGUGCCUGAAGGUUAAAAGGAGGGGUGAGAGCUCUGAAUUGAAGCCCAGGUAAACGGCGGCCGUAACUAUAACGGUCCUAAGGU
rnacentral:rRNA from 1 species